UAGUAAGCGGAGGACAAGAAACUAAAUAGGAUUCCCCUAGUAAUGGCGAAUGAACAGGGAACAGCUCAGCAUGGAAAUUGGGGUCUCCCGACCUUGAAUUGUAGUCUUGAGAGGUACUGCCAACGGAGGCGCAGAUGUAAGCCUCUUGGAAAAGAGCAUCAACGAGGGUGAGAGUCCCGUUUGUCAUCUGCAGUCCCCCGUGCACGGUGUAUCUUCUAAGAGUCACGUUCCUCGGGAUUGGAGCGCAAAGUGGGUGGUAAAUUUCAUCUAAAGCUAAAUAUUGGUUCGAGACCGAUAGCAAACAAGUACCAUGAGGGAAAGGUGAAAAGGACUUUGAAAAGAGAGUUAAAAGUGCCUGAAAUUGCUGAAAGGGAAGCGAAUGGAACCAGUGUUCUUGAUGAGAUUGCUGCGUACUCUGGUGAUUGUUGGGUGUUCCACCGCAAGGGGGGCAUCUGGUUUUGAGCUAGAUGUGCGUGGUGUUUCUUGUCUUGUGUGUCACCGUCGGUGCUCGAGCGAGGAAAACUCUAGGGAACUGGUAGCCUGCCUCCGGGUGUGUGAAUGUCCUUAGUAGUACUCAUUUGUGUAUCGAUUCCUGCGUGUCUGGUUGCAGUGUUUGAGUCGUCUGGGAGUUUUUCUGAAAGGACUUGUCCCUGAUGAAAUCUUUCUGGGCGCCUGGAGCAUCUCCCUGACACAAAGACGAUGACUAAAUGGUUCUAUUCGACCCGUCUUGAAACACGGACCAAGGAGUCUAACAUAUGUGCGAGUUCACGGGUGUUAAACCUGAAAGCGCAAUGAAAGUGACUGCUGGGAUUUUUGCACCAGCAACCGACCAAUCAAUCGAGAGAGGUUUGAGUAUGAGCAUAUCUGUUAGGACCCGAAAGAUGGUGAACUAUGCCUGAGAAGGGCAAAGUCAGGGGAAACUCUGAUGGAGGCUCGUAGCGAUACUGACGUGCAAAUCGUUCGUCAUACUUGGGUAUAGGGGCGAAAGACUAAUCGAACCAUC
rnacentral:rRNA from 1 species